rnacentral:rRNA from 1 species
GAUGAACGCUGGCGGCGUGCCUAAUACAUGCAAGUCGAGCGAACAGACGAGGAGCUUGCUCCUCUGACGUUAGCGGCGGACGGGUGAGUAACACGUGGAUAACCUACCUAUAAGACUGGGAUAACUUCGGGAAACCGGAGCUAAUACCGGAUAAUAUAUUGAACCGCAUGGUUCAAUAGUGAAAGACGGUUUUGCUGUCACUUAUAGAUGGAUCCGCGCCGCAUUAGCUAGUUGGUAAGGUAACGGCUUACCAAGGCAACGAUGCGUAGCCGACCUGAGAGGGUGAUCGGCCACACUGGAACUGAGACACGGUCCAGACUCCUACGGGAGGCAGACGUAGGGACUCUUCCGCCGUGGGCGCCGGCCUGCCGGGGACCCGCCGCGUGAGUGAUGAAGGUCUUCGGAUCGUAAAACUCUGUUAUUAGGAAAGAACAAAUGUGUCAGUAACUAUGCACGUCUGGCCGGUCCCUCCUCAGAACGCCACGGCUCACUACGU